AAGAUUUACAAAUGUCUAGUACAAUCAUAUGGCAACAUAUUACAAAACGUAUAUGAUAUAGUAUAGAGUAAUAAGUUACAAGUACUAUAUUUUCUAUUACAUCUCACAUGGAUGCAAGUUAUUUACAACAACAUCAAAACACAUAGAUACUUCUAUAGUUCUUUUACACAACAACACAAAAGGCAAAUAUGCAGCAUAUCAAAGCAAAGAUGCUUCAAUCGAAGUAGUGAUGCAAGAACUUACGAAUACCUCUCAUGAAUCCACCUUUCUUCUUUUCCCUCUUAUGCCACUUAUUCUCUUCCUUAGCUUUUUCUCCUUCUUCACCAUUGUUAUAAUGAAAACGCUUCCUCAAAUUCAUUUCAUAGUGUUUCACAUAAAGCUUUGAUCUUUUGUCAGACUCAUCAUGAGCAUGGAAUUCAUUUUCAUUUUUCGAUUUAAUUUCACCAAAAUUACCUUGAUUUUCACUACUGAUCGAGAUCUGCCUCUGUUCGUGAUCAUUGUCUUCGUUUUCGUCAUGGUGAGGUAAUUGAUCCUUCAAUUUCAUUUCCCCAAAAUUCUCGCGAUCGUAUAGGAACUUCCAGAUCUUCUUAUCAUUGUACCGAUGGUGGCGGAAACUGAACGGAUCCGACGGAAUCUGACGCACACCAAUACGGUUCAGAAACUUAUCAAAGUCAAUGUUUCUCUUAGAAGGCAGUAUCAUAUCAUUACCAUAAGGAAUCUGUCGCUGUGAUCCCGGUUUCAGGUGGUGACAUAGGCGGAACGGUAGUCUCGAUCGGAGCCUGAAUCUACGGUUGAUCGGCCGGAAUCUGACUAACGUAACAGGGACCGAAUGGACGGAACGAGUGUUUUCGUGAUCGGAUUUGCUAGGGAUGUUAACAGCAGGCGCAGAAUCAUCUGAUUCCGGUAGAGUAUGAGGAAGUUCAGGGAUGGCAAGGUCAUUUUCCGAAGGAAGUUUGAGGUGUGUGACGUCAUUUUCCGGUUGAGUAAACGGAGUACGAGCAAGUGAAAGGUUGAAAAAGAGGAAAAGGACUGCAAAGAAGAGUUUCGCCAUGGUGAAAAAGUUUGAAAUUGUUGAAACGAGAUGAAUCGAAUUCGG
rnacentral:misc_RNA from 1 species